rnacentral:rRNA from 1 species
GACGGACCAUCCAAACGUUAUUCGGAAUUACUGGGCUUAAAGGGUGCGUAGGAGGGCAGGUAAGUCAGUGGUGAAAUCUCCGAGCUUAACUCGGAAACUGCCGUUGAUACUAUCUGUCUUGAAUACCGUGGAGGUGAGCGGAAUAUGUCAUGUAGCGGUGAAAUGCUUAGAUAUGACAUAGAACACCAAUUGCGAAGGCAGCUCGCUACACGAAUAUUGACUCUGAGGCACGAAAGCGUGGGGAUCAAACAGG